UUCGGAUUAGUGGCGAACGGGUGAGUAACACGUGACCAUUCUGCCCUUGAUUUUGGGAUAAGCGUUGGAAACGACGUUUAAUCCCGGAUACGACCUUGGAAGGCAUUUUCCUUGGUGGAAAGAAUUUUGGUCAGGGAUGAGCUCGCGGCCUAUCAGCUAGUUGGUGAGGUAAUGGCUCACCAAGGCGACGACGGGUAGCCGGCCUGAGAGGGUGACCGGCCACACUGGGACUGAGACACGGCCCAGACUCCUACGGGAGGCAGCAGUGGGGAAUAUUGCACAAUGGGCGAAAGCCUGAUGCAGCAACGCCGCGUGAGGGACGACGGCCUUCGGGUUGUAAACCUCUUUUAGUAGGGAAGAAGCGAAAGUGACGGUACCUGCAGAAAAAGCACCGGCUAACUACGUGCCAGCAGCCGCGGUAAUACGUAGGGUGCAAGCGUUGUCCGGAAUUAUUGGGCGUAAAGAGCUCGUAGGCGGUUUGUCGCGUCUGCUGUGAAAACCCGCAGGCUCAACCUCGGGCCUGCAGUGGGUACGGGCAGACUAGAGUGCGGUAGGGGAGAUUGGAAUUCCUGGUGUAGCGGUGGAAUGCGCAGAUAUCAGGAGGAACACCAAUGGCGAAGGCAGAUCUCUGGGCCGUAACUGACGCUGAGGAGCGAAAGCAUGGGGAGCGAACAGGAUUAGAUACCCUGGUAGUCCAUGCCGUAAACGUUGGGAACUAGAUGUGGGGACCAUUCCACGGUCUCCGUGUCGCAGCUAACGCAUUAAGUUCCCCGCCUGGGGAGUACGGCCGCAAGGCUAAAACUCAAAGGAAUUGACGGGGGCCCGCACAAGCGGCGGAGCAUGCGGAUUAAUUCGAUGCAACGCGAAGAACCUUACCAAGGCUUGACAUAUAGAGGAAACGGCUGGAAACAGUCGCCCCGCAAGGUCUCUAUACAGGUGGUGCAUGGUUGUCGUCAGCUCGUGUCGUGAGAUGUUGGGUUAAGUCCCGCAACGAGCGCAACCCUCGUCCUAUGUUGCCAGCACGUAAUGGUGGGAACUCAUGGGAUACUGCCGGGGUCAACUCGGAGGAAGGUGGGGAUGACGUCAAAUCAUCAUGCCCCUUAUGUCUUGGGCUUCACGCAUGCUACAAUGGCCGGUACAAAGGGCUGCAAUACCGCAAGGUGGAGCGAAUCCCAAAAAGCCGGUCUCAGUUCGGAUUGAGGUCUGCAACUCGACCUCAUGAAGUCGGAGUCGCUAGUAAUCGCAGAUCAGCAACGCUGCGGUGAAUACGUUCCCGGGCCUUGCACACCCCGCCCGUCA
rnacentral:rRNA from 1 species